UAUAAACAGUGACUUAAGUAUAUUUAUGUUUAAUAGGAAAAUAUACCGCAUUUUUUAAUGUGUAUUAUGUAUUAAAUUUAUGAAAUUAUCUUUUUUUUAUUCUAUAUGUAUAAUGUCUAAAUUUGUUGUAAGAUGAAAGUUAAAUAUUUUUCAUCUAAUUUAUUAUUGUUAACAUAUAAACCAUACGAUGUGAAUGAAUUUUCUAUUUUAAAGGCAGAAUUGCAAGUUAAUACGCAGCAACUCUGUUAUCGGAUUGUUUAGAUGGUGAGUAAAACUUAGUACUUGCUUGAAAAUUGUAUACAAUAGUCCUGUCCAGACAUUUAAUAAGUAAUUUAUGGUAAUACAGUUUGUAAGCACAGAUUUUGUAUUUAUUUACAAUUUUUUUUAUUUGCACAUCGAAAGUAUCUUUAGUUCUUUGUUAAUUUUUUUAUGAAAAAUUGACGAACGGGUAGAAAGUAUCAAAGACAAUAUACAUAGGUGCAAUCAGAAUUUCAAAAUACAGAUGCCAUUAAACGAAAGAGACAAACCAAAUAACAUGUAUACGAACAAAAUAAAAGAGGAUAACUUGAUUGAAAAGCAAACGCACUUAACGUACUAUAAACAAAUUAGAAUCCAUGAAAACAGGAUAUGGGAAAAUUUUACAAGCCACAACAUUUUAUUGUCAACCACCUUUAAAAUUCUAAAAAAAUAUCCCAAAAAAAUUAUGUCCAUGUUGAUGAAUAGAGUAGUUCAUAAAUAGUGAGGUUACAGUCAUAUACAUUGAAUAGUUUAUAAUGCAUUAAUCUAUAUACGUUGUAUGUUUUACAAUGCUCAAUAUAAGCAACUUUGACCUCAAUACAACCUCUUUCUUUCUCUAACAUAAAAUAGAUGUUGGAUGAUUGACAAUUAGACAACCAUCUACAAUAUUUCAAACGACGAAGAUAUAAUCAUUUUUCCACACAAACAUCAGAUGAUCAGAGAAAAUGUGGAGGUGGGUUGGACAUUUGACGCUUCCUUUUCUCAAAUCUUAACAAAUAUCAAUAGCGUGUAUCAUUCGGAACUGAUAAACAGUAACAAUCAACAAUGAGUAAUACACAAUUAAUAGACUGUAAUUCAUAAUUUUUUUUCAGAUAAUUAUUUCACUUUAGCUACGAAUCAUACAAAAGGGACAACGUUUCAGAAAAGAAGGUAAUUAUUACUCAGUUUCAUAUAGAUUUAACAAACAAGGACAAAACUGAGUUUACAUAGCUUUUUCAACUGAUUUUUAUAGUUCGUUCUUAUGCUGCACUGGUAUACUACUGUCCCAGGUUAGGGGAGGGUUGGAAUCCCGCUAACAUGUUUAACCACGCCACAUUAUUUAUGUAUGUGCCUGUCCCAAGUCAGGAGGCUGUAAUUCAGUGACUGUCGUUUGUUUAUGUGUUACAUAUUUGUUUUUCGUUCAUCUUUUUAUAUAAAUAAGGCCGUUAGUUUUCUCGUUUGAAUUGUUUCACAUUGUAAUAUCGGGGCAUUUUAUAGCUGACUAUGCGGUAUGGGCUAUGAUCAUUGUUGAAGGUCGUACGAUGACCUAUAGUUAUUAAUGUAUGUGUCAUUUUGGUCUCUUGUGGACAGUUGUCUCAUUGGCAAUCAUACCACAUUUUUUUUAUAUAUUUAUAUAGUCAUACAUAUUACUUUUUUCAAUCCACUACAAUGACAUUUCAACGGAAAGAAAUGCUAAUAAUCGAAUUCAGAACUUUCACUUUUGCACCUACUGAGACAAACUUUUGAGACAAAUGGAUAGCUUUACUAUUUUUGAGAAAAAAAUGUGUCAAAACAUGAAUGAAUAGAUUCACACUGUAACAGUUUCAUGCAUACCACGUAUUUAUUGCGUGUCGGUUUAAAUUUGCACCCAUAAUUCAAUAAAAAAAAAAACUGUUUGUUUUACUCGUGUACUAUAAAACACAACAUAACAUUCAUAAAACGAUACUGAUUGUUAUUUCCUGAAAAUAUAACCUGGUUUAUAUAAACAAAAUCAUUUUUACAGUUUUUUUUAUUUAUAAAAAAUGUUUAAAAGGCAAAAUAAAGUACGAAUAUAUUCUAAGUACAGCUGAAGUGAAAAUGCAUAAGUUGAGAUUAUGAAGAUGUAAGUCAAAUAUUAUUUCAAGAAUUACUAUUUACCGAACAUACAAUACUCAACGAACUAUACUUAUAUGAUGUAACUCCUUGAUACGAUAUGCGUCUAUUAAACUGCUCCGAAAUCAAUUAUAUACUUCCGAAGCCAUACUUUUCUUUUUAGUGGUAAUAAGAAUAAGAAAUGCUUCAUAACACAUUUUUUUUAUAUUUAUGACUUCUUUUCAAUCAUUUAAUCAUUUCAAAAUCAUGUAACAUAUUAACUAAAGAUUAAGUAUGUUUCCAAAUAUAUGUAUGUUGGGGUAUAAAAAUAGCACAAAUACAUGAAUGACGAAUUUACAUACUCAAGUAAAGGUGAUAAAAAGAUAUAUGUUUGUUGUGUGAAACUGGAUAUUGUUUAAAUUAAAUGUUCGAUGGUAGUAUUCAAAUAAUUAAACAAAAAUAAAAAUACACCAUAAAGUUGUUGAUAAAAUGCCUACUUUUACGUCAUUUGAUCUCUCAUUGAGAGUUAUAUAUCAUUGACAAUCAAACAACAUCUUCUUAUUGUCAUAGAGUUAACAAAAUCCUACCCAAUGAUAUUUUUCCAGAACAUUCCAUUACAAAACAUUAAAAUACGCAAUCCAGAACAGUUUUAUUAGAUUUUGACUGAUUUAUUUAACCCUCCAUAUUAAUAUAAAAUAACGAUGUAUCUAAUCAAUUAGAUAUGUGAUUUCAUAACUGUUAUUUUUCAGGGCAGCUGAAGAUCUACAUGUUGUCGAAAACCGCUCAGUGAUAAAGUUGGUCACUGUGACAUUGCCUUGAUGUUUUUUUUUAAUUUGUUACAAAUUUCAUAUUAGAGAAAGUAAGGAAGCGAACAGAUAUAGUAAACCUAGUUCACAUAACAUCUGAAGAUGUUUUUGCGUAUAGUAAAAAAAUGUUUACUUUGUAACUGGAAGAAAGAGUUUGAUCGUAAUAUCCAGAGAAGUGUGAGGGUCAAGUUGAAAAAGUUCCCUUUUAGGAAGGGCCAUAUAGAGAUAGUAUAUAGUUUGGAACUUACAAGUAUUUAUAUGCUUAGGUAGUUAUUUUUAAUGUAUAAUCUAUUGAAAGUGUAUAUAGAUUUUUAAAUUAUUUGAAAAAAUGUCAUUCCAAUGAUUGAUAAUGUAGUAAUUAUAAUAAUUAAGGAAUGACUGUAAUAUUUGUUCUGUCUAUGAAGGAAUAACAUCAAAAAUCUGGUGCACACUGAAUAAAGUGUGCACCACAUUUUAAUGUCAUUUCGAAUAGACAGAAAAAAAUUCUAUCAUUUCUUAUAAAUGAAUUCUAAAUUCCAAUUUAAACCGUAGUAAAUAUGAAAAUACGUCGAUGACGUCACGGUCACAUGACAAAAUUAUGUCUAUGAGCUGAUAAACAAAACAACGUCAGCCAAUCAGAAGACGCGUUAUAUCCAAAAUAUUUUUUUACGUAAUACUAGUAAUAACUGUUAUGACAGGUUUUGUCAAUGUAUUCGUCUGUUAGUUUUCAUUUUAUUAUCACUCAGAAUGAACGUUCAAUUUCUAUAUAUCGUUACCUUCAAAUUUAGACAAAUAUACCUUCAAAAUUCACGUAUAAUUUCGAUAACAGUAAGAACUGACAUAAUGAGCUUUAAUCUUAGAGGAAGACUACCUUUGUGAUUUGCUUUAUCAAUCGUGUUUCUUGUGUGUUUUCUUCGGUUAUUAAUAGUUAUGAAAUAAUAAGAUCACAUAUAUAUAUAUAUUGAACUCGGAGGAAAAUUCAAAAUGGAAAGUCCCUACAAUUUAGUUUUGAAUAACAGUGACAAAAUCAAAAGAUCCUUUACGACGGAACAAUAUUUUAAAUAAGUUUACUUUAAGUUCUCAUAACCUGUUUAUCUUCUCGUUGGCUAUAUACGGGGGAAAAAAUAAAACUAUAAAAGGUUACUUUUUUUCUUUUAAAUCAUUUGUGUUUUUUUUUCUUUCAAUUCAUUAGAACGUUCUCUUGCUAAUUUAUAAUAAUUAAAAUAACGUCCUUUCGGAAUUAGACAAACAUUGUUUUUAGUGUUUCCAGAGGUGACUUUUUGCAUACCUGUCUUAGACCGAGUACAUUUAAAAUUUAUAAUUCGAGACAAUGUAUAGUUUUCUUUACAUACUAGUACUGCACAUCCUAUAACUGCUCCAAAUGAAAUAUUUAGGGUAAAACCCAUCAUUUUGUUAAAUCAAAGCGGACGACGUAAAAUUUCCGCGUCCCCUUUAUUUGUUAUUGACGUGAAAAAUAAAAAUCAACGGAAACGCAUUGUCAACGCCAUUAACAAGGCAAAUGGAUAUAUAGUCAAUGCAAUUUGACUGCACAAAUAGCAAAGUUGCAAUAAAUAGGGACAUAUAUUCAGUCUUCAAAAAACAUUAGAAUAGCACCCUUUUUACUCAGGUGCAGUACUGUUCAAAAAUGAAAUAGGCGUUAAACGUGUCGAAAUGCUCCUCCCCUUUUUUAAUGUGUAAAAAAGGCACCUGAAGUCAGAACCCUUCUCCCUUUUAAUGUUUGAACACAGACACCCGACGUCUUUCUGCGAUUUUGCUGGUAUCUCCUAGUAAUUUUAAAAGUAAAUACGUUCACCGGUGAUAAAUUUUGACAUCGGAUUAAUUUUCACAGAAAUGAUAUCUAUAACUAUUUAGUAUCUAAGUUAUGUACAAUUGUGGUUCAAAUAUUGGAUAACGCCAUUGUUAUACUGUAUCUAACAAGUUCUUAACAGUAUUUUAUUUUCAUUUCAUUGAUAUCGUAUACGUUAU
rnacentral:lncRNA from 1 species